rnacentral:misc_RNA from 1 species
AAAGUCGUAACAAGGUUUCCGUAGGUGAACCUGCGGAAGGAUCACUAGUGAUUAAAUCGAGAGCGUCUUAAUUGACCUCUCACCCUUCACAUCCACAUACACCCUGUGAAUCGUUUGGCUUUUCAUUAAUAGAGCGCAAGCUCGACAAGUGAAAAGUCAUCAUUUAUACAUACCCCAGUCUUAUGAAUGUAACAGUUUUAAUAAACAUAAUAAAACUUUUAACAACGGAUCUCUUGGUUCUC